UACGUAGGGUGCAAGCGUUGUCCGGAAUUAUUGGGCGUAAAGGGCUCGUAGGCGGUUUGUCGCGUCGGGAGUGAAAACUCAGGGCUUAACCCUGAGCCUGCUUCCGAUACGGGCAGACUAGAGGUAUGCAGGGGAGAACGGAAUUCCUGGUGUAGCGGUGAAAUGCGCAGAUAUCAGGAGGAACACCGGUGGCGAAGGCGGUUCUCUGGGCAUUACCUGACGCUGAGGAACGAAAGCCAGGGGAGCGAAACGGG
rnacentral:rRNA from 1 species